GUCCCGGCGCAGCGCGGUGCUGCCGCCGCUCCUUCCUCCUCCUCCUGGCCCUGCCCGGCUCUCCCCGCGCCCUGCCCCCGGCAUGCCCUCGCCGCUGCCCCCCACCGAGCUGUACGCCUCGGAGCGGGUGGUCGUGCUGGUGUCCUGCGGGCUGUCCUUCCUGGGCUCCAGCCUCCUGGUGUGCACCCAUGCGCUCUGGCCCGAGCUGCGGACGCGGCCCCGCCAGCUCCUGCUCUACCUGUCGCUGGCGGAUCUCCUCUCGGCUCUCUCGUACUUCUAUGGGGUGCUACAGGACUUCGACAAGACCUCGUGGGACUGCGUGCUCCAGGGUGCCCUGUCCACCUUCUCCAACACCAGCUCCUUCUUCUGGACCAUGGCCAUUGCUCUCUACCUCUACAUCACCAUUGUGAGGGGCUCGCCCACCGGCACAGGCUUAGUCUGCUGCUUCCAUGUCAUGAGCUGGGGAAUCCCCCUUGGCAUCACAGUGGCGGCUGUUGCUCUGAAGAAGAUUGGUUAUGAUGCCUCUAAUGUUUCUGUGGGCUGGUGCUGGGUCAACUUGGAUGCAGAGGAUCGAGUCUUGUGGAUGUUGCUAACAGGGAAAGUGUGGGAGAUACUGGCCUAUGUGACUUUGCCUGUGCUCUACCUCCUCAUCAAGAAGCACAUUAACAGAGCGCACGCAGCUCUCUCAGAGUAUCGCCCCAUUCUCUCAAGAGCACCUGCAUUUCAGCCCCAGACUUCCAUAGCAGAUAAGAAGUUGAUUCUCAUCCCUGUCAUCUUUAUCAUCCUCCGCAUCUGGAGCACUGUGCGAUUCAUUCUGACCCUCUGUAACUCCCCUGCAGUGCAAAAUUCAGUCCUGGUUGUCCUGCAUGUAAGUAUUUGCCAGGAAAUGCAUUGGAAGGAGGAUCUGGGAGGGAGAUAAGGCUUUGUUGCUCUUAAUAUCGUUUUUUAGAGGCAGGAUGCAGCACGUACUGGCUGAUGCUGUUGGCAAGCGCUGGUCGGGAUGCUCAGCAACAGCUAUUUCAGCAGCAUCUAGUGGCUACAGACAGUAACUGCAGUAGGAGUGUUGGGCAAUGCUUGUAGGAAAACAUAUCAGACCAGAUAUGUUGGGUGUCCGCCCUUCAGCAGGGGCUGUAGAACCCCCCAGCACCCAGCUGGUCUGCUUUUGGGUGCAAAGUUGAUCUUUCUGAACCCAUUCUUCUCACUUAGGUGGAAGUUGCUGUCAGUUGGGCAGUGCUGUAGCUGGUCUGACACCAGGAACAGCGCUGGUUAAUUCCCUUCUUGCCCUUGCAGGGAAUUGGUAACACAUUCCAAGGAGGUGCCAAUUGCAUCAUGUUUGUCCUCUGCACACGGGUGAUCCGGACUCGGCUCUUUUCCUACAUUUGCUGUUGCCACUAUGAUGAGUUGGAUUGGCCUUUGCGACGAUCAAGCAGCAACUGGCAGUGCUCAGAGCCCCCCAAGAACAACGAUGUGUCAGGCCCUGAGCAGACCAAACCCCUGCUCUCCAGCACCUGAGCCUGGGCUGCCUGCAUCUCGGUGCUGAUUUCUUCUUUCUUGGUAAAAACAUAGUGUGCAGGAUCAUCCCAGAGUCCCACAGAGGGAGCUCAAGCCUGGGGAGAAGCACGGCCGGAGUGACUGAGCAACGGGAAGAGGUCCUGCUGCUCCUCGGCAUUCGGAUACCAGCUGCUUUGGUCUUGAAUUUUGCUCAGGGUCCUCUAGAAGAUACUGUUUGGCUCUACUCCAACCUCCUGGUUUUCCUCCCUCCUCCACUAUAAAUCUUACCAUUUGUUCGGGGUUUUGCUUUUCUGUCUGACAAGGCAAAUGUGCUGUGAGUUUUGGGGUGAACAAAUAUCAUGGUGACAGGAAAACUCUAGUAGCUGAUGAAUAGGACUGUCCUGGGCAUGGAUUUCAGUCCUAAUCCAUGAGGUCUUCCAGGGAGCUCCAGCCUGGCUCCUGUUCUUCACUUGAAUGUGGACAAUAGUGUGCAAACAUAUUUGUGUUGUGGUGGUGAUGGAUAGUUCCGCUCGAUGGUUUAUUCCUCUUCCUUGAUGAAUAGGGGUUGUCACCAUCAGGGUUUAUGGUGGCAGCAUGGUUAUCGACUCCAGAGGAAAUCUGAGUGCUGCAGCCUCCCUUGGUGCUCAGGGAUAUGUGGAUGUAUCACCCCAGCCUCCAGCAAGGACAGCCCUCACCAGUGGCUGGAUGGUACCUGGUGUGUAGCCUGUAUUAGCCAAAGCAGAGGCUACAGUCUGUUCUUGCUUUGGGAGUGAUAAAUCAGAGCUGGGGAGGGGAUGGGGAUCUGUUUGCUGUUUGGAGAUAGUGUUUUACCUUAUUUACAGCUCCUCACUUGCUUGUUUUUUAAAUAUUUUCUCCAACUUUUACAAAAUAAAGUUGUGUUUCUUUACCAA